GAUGAACGCUAGCGGCAGGCUUAACACAUGCAAGUCGAGGGGCAGCACAUUGAGUAGUUUACUACUCUUGGUGGCGACCGGCGCACGGGUGCGUAACGCGUAUGCAACCUACCAUUAACAGGGGGAUAAUUCGGAGAAAUCUGGUCUAAUACCCCAUAACAAUAGAUUUGGCAUCAAAUUUAUUUGAAAACUCCGGUGGUUAAUGAUGGGCAUGCGUGACAUUAGAUAGUUGGUGAGGUAACGGCUCACCAAGUCUACGAUGUCUAGGGGGACUGAGAGGUUAACCCCCCACACUGGUACUGAGACACGGACCAGACUCCUACGGGAGGCAGCAGUGAGGAAUAUUGGUCAAUGGACGCAAGUCUGAACCAGCCAUGCCGCGUGCAGGAAGACGGCUCUAUGAGUUGUAAACUGCUUUUGUACGAGGGUAAUUGCAUCUACGUGUAGGUGUUUGAAAGUAUCGUACGAAUAAGGAUCGGCUAACUCCGUGCCAGCCGCCGCGGUAAAAC
rnacentral:rRNA from 1 species